GGUGACCGACCUUCGGGGAGCUUGCACAGGUGCUGCAUGGCUGUCGUCAGCUCGUGUCGUGAGAUGUUCGGUUAAGUCCGCUAACGAGCGCAACCCUCGCUGUGUGUUAUAUGUGUCACACGGGACUGCCGGUCUUAAGCCGGAGGAAGGUGGGGAUGAUGUCAAGUCAGCAUGGCCUUUAUAUCCUGGGCUACACACACGCUACAAUGGCCAACACAAUAGGUUGCUAAGCCGCGAGGUGGCGCCAAUCCAUAAAGUUGGUCUCAGUUCAGAUUGUAGGCUGCAACCCGCCUGCAUGAAGAUGGAGUUGCUAGUAACCGCAGGUCAGCUAUACUGCGGUGAAUACGUUCCCGGGGCUU
rnacentral:rRNA from 1 species